GAAACUUUCCAAAGUAAUUUAGCUUGAGGCAGACACCCAGCAUGGAAAAUUUCACCCAGGACGGUUAACAUUUGACAAAGUUAUAAGCAGCUGAAAACUGGGUCUUUAUAAUGGGAAGUGUCAAGCAACCUUAAUGACAAGUGAGGCUACCAGCCCUCCUUCUCCCCAAUAAUAACACCACGAGGGCUGAACAUUGACAGAGGAGGGACACACUGUUGUCUAAAACUUUUGGAAAACUGAUAAUCACCAAAAUUGGAAAAGGAAUAAUUUAGAAUGGCCAAUUUAGCUAGGAAAACCAACAUAAAACUUGAAAGGGAAAACCAGGCUGAAUAUCACAAAAAAACCCCAAAACAAAUAAAUAAAUAUCAAUGGAGGCCUCUUAAAUUGAGAAAUUGUCUCCCAAAAGAGGUGAUGGAAGCCCUGUAACUUGAGUAAUUUGAAAUGAAACCGGACAAUAUCCUGGACAAAACCCUAACCGUGAAAAUAUCCUACACUAAGAACAUUCCUGUACUGGCAGGGGAAUUGGAGGGGAAGAUCUAAAAUGUCUUUUCCAUCUUUGACUUCUGAUUAUACAGUUGCAGUUUGCAGUGAACCUGAAAUAACAGAAUUACAAAGGGAAAAAUAUUGCCAUGGCAACAAAAUAUUUCUAUUUAAAGUGAGUGAGGUCUCAAAAAAAAUAAUGAUAGAAUUUAAACAGAAACAGACUUUAUAAAAUAAGGAAGAAAAUAACUAUUUUUAAAAAAUCAUAACUUAGCCUAACUUGUAAUGAAGCAUAUACCCAGAACUCCCCCCCCACAAUCCAGUUAUUCUUAGCGCUUGAAGGAAAUACCUUAAAAAUGUAGACCAAUGUUUUACACAUCUGGCGACUUAGACUUAGACGUCACAGCCUGAGUUCCAGUCUAAGCUGCAACAUCAAAGCACUGUCUAUACAGUAUCUUUAGAGCACUAGUAUGAGCCCCAAUAGCCUGAGUCUAUUGACCCAAGCUGAGAGCCUUGCUCCAAAAUGCAUGUAGACAGAUCCAGAGAGAUUAAGCAACUUGCUCAAGGUCAUAUGGCAACUCGGUGUCAGAGCUGGAAAUAGAAUUUAAACAAUCUUGGCUCCAAGUUCAGUCUACUAGACCAUGUUGCCUUUCAGUAUAAACUACACCAAAACAGCGUAAGUCACUAUAAAUCAUUUCCCUUUUUCCUUUACCCUGCUCCAUGAAAAACUGCAGUGUAUUCAAUUAUCUGGCCUCUUCUCUAACUACAGUAAUCAAUGUUCUCCACUAGGGAUUCCAUUUGAGAUAGCCCUUCUGCAAACUACACCCAAAAUUGUAGGGUAAAAAUCAACGCCUUGUUUUAAUCUCUGAUCUCCAAUAGCUUUUCCAGCCGCCAUUUCAAGAGCAGGCAGCUAGAAAGGAACUCAUUUUUCCUCCCCCAUCUCUUAUUGGGAGAGUUCUGACGGGUUGUUCUCUAAGAGAACAUAACCCAUUUUCCAGGAAAUGGCUAUUGAUACACAUAUUUUGUAUUGUAAAUAUAUUUGAUUCUUUUGCACCACCAUUUCUGUGAUUCUCUUGACAGAGGGGCUCUUUGGCUGUUGAAGGCUGACUGCCAAAGCUCUAGGGAACUAGACCUUCUUCCAAAAGCUCCACUCUUAAAGAUAACAUAGAAAGAAACAUUUAAGCAAAUAAUUAAAAUGAUUAAUUUUUUUGGAGAAUGCUAAGUGCAGCUGUUAGUUCUUAAAUUACUCUUUUUAUUUUAUUUUUUAAAGAAAAGGAGCAGAGAUGAGACACAACCAAAACUCUGGAUCUGAACUAACAAGAUUUUUUGGGUGUACAAAAACUUGUUCAAAAUGAUGUGUCCCUCAACACAGGUGCACAAUUCUGUCUCAGCAACUUUAGGAUACUAUCCUCUGACAUGCUAAGUAACUCUUGCAAAAUCUUAAAUGCCCUCAUCUUCCACUGAAGACAACAGGAAUUAAAGGUGCUGAACACCUCACCAAAUUAUGCCAUUAGAAGCUAGAUUGGCACCCCUGAAAAUUGGUGGUUGAGACAGGGUGUACAAAUUCUGCACCAGGCAAGGAGUUAAACUGCAGCUUUGGGCUCCUGUGCCCUCGCCCUGCCACUCCUGCGAGGCUUGCCAAUCUUGAAGGAGGAGCCUUAAAAAGAGAGAAGCUCAAUUCAGAAGGUCCAAGCCUGGUGAGGUGGACAGACCUCUUGCCCUCCUGCUUUCAGAGAGGAAUAUCACAAAGAACCAAGCUACCUUGGGUUGCCUGUGAGAACGGAGCAACAGGACAGACAGCUAAAGGAUCUGGGUGGGACAGAGAAGCUGAAGCCAUUCCUUAUUACUGUUAAUUUAGUUUCUUUUCCUUUGUUACCUUGAGAACUGAAUCUAGGAGCUGGGCCCUGGAGCAAACUCCUGCUGAGAAUAUGAAUCCCCCUGAGGAGAAGAUGACUGUGCUGUAGAAAGAGUUAUUUACUACAGGUUCUUGGGCUGGAACCAGCAUAGAGGGAGGUACUGCAUUCCCUAAAGCCUCACCAGGAGGACUAGCCAGAAGAUCCCAAACACAAGGGGCCAGAAAAGACAAUUGAGCCUAGGACUAUGGGGUGAAAACCCUGGUUAACCCUGCAAGGUGUGAGGCCAAAGGUGACCCAGCUGGAGGAUCAGAUCAUAAGGCAAAAGGGGACUACCAGUGGACGAAACCCUGCAACACUGCUCCUUGUCACAAGGGGUGCUGUGUUUGGCCAGAGCUAUUGAAACAGCCCUCCUGAGCUUCACUUUGAGAAGGAUAAAAAAGAAAUUCUGCUGCAGGUUCUUGAGAACUCCUUUGAUUCUAAUAACUGAGACUAUAUUGAGGUAUGUGAUGCUUUAUUGACCACUUCCAUUGCAUGCAUUGCCAUGCCAGUACUAACUAUACUUACAAGGUCAAGUCUAAUUAUUCAGGGACACAUUGUAAAAACUGAGAUGGAUGCUAGUAGGGAGGGAUUCUUCUUUGAUUGUUGGGUGUGCAGGGAGGACUUAUUUCUUGCUCUCUGGGGAGUGCAGGUCCUGCAUUGGUGCUCCACUACUGUGCAGGGACAUAAAGGCAGGAUCAGAGGAGGUAGACCUUGUGCCCCUGUGGGACACAGUCAAGAGCAUGCAGAAAAAGAAUGUGGGGACCUGACUCAAUGAGAACAGUGUGACAGAAUGGUGGUGUUUUUCACACAACUUGUUAGUUCCAGAACUUUUGUUUUGAUUUACAGAAAUAUAGAUAUAUUUUCAGUCAUCCGAUUACUGAACAUUUCUCUGCAGUGAGGACAAUUGUUUCUAGGCCUUUUGGAGGAAUCAUGUUACAUUUCUUUUACAGUAUAUAUGAGAAAUUGUUUCUCACAUGGUAAAUCAUUUCAUGUUUUUUAAAUUUUCAUUUAUCGCAGCCUGGAGAGUAAAACUAAAUCCUUGAAUUAUACCGUACACUACAGAGUAAAAUGAUCACAGCAACACAAUGCGUCUUUGCCUUAACAACAAAAAUAUGUGGUGCUCCUUUUAAAGUAUAUUUAUUAAGCUUUUUUUGUAAACUGUCUCCCCCUUCCUCCCUUUUUUGAGGGAGUUUCUUUGAUUGACUAUAGCAAUUUGUCGCACACCAAUAGAAACAGUGAUUAUAUCUACAAUAUGCCUACAAUGAGAGAUUCACCUAAAUAAAUAUCCUGUUCUGAAUCACAUGUGAUUUGUAUAUAACACAUUUAAUUUAAUAGAUGCAUAUAUUUUAAAGCCAGAAGGGACCAUUAUGAUCAUGUGGUCUGACCUUUCCUACAGACCAUAGCAUUUCACUUGCGUAGAGUAAAAUAACUUGUGAUUGAAGUAAAGCAUAUGUUUUAUGCAGAAAUCUGAUCUUAAUUUAAAGAGGUCAUGUGCAUUUGGUUAUCUACAAUGACCCCAUAGUCGUUCCCAGAGUCACUGCUUUCCAGAAAUAUAAUCCCCCAUCCUGUAAGUAUGGUCUGCA